UACGUAGGGGCCGAGCGUUGUCCGGAGUUACUGGGCGUAAAGCGCGCGCAGGCGGCCGUUUCUUGCCCGCCGUGAAAGCCCCCGGCUCAACCGGGGAGGGUCGGCGGGGACGGGGCGGCUUGAGGACGGCAGGGGCCGGUGGAAUCCCCGGUGUAGUGGUGAAAUGCGUAGAGAUCGGGGGGGAACACCCGUGGCGAAGGCGGCCGGCUGGGCCGUUCCUGACGCUGAGGCGGCGAAGGCGUGGGGAGCGAACGGGG
rnacentral:rRNA from 1 species